UACGGAGGGUGCGAGCGUUGUCCGGAAUCACUGGGCGUAAAGGGCGCGUAGGCGGCCUGAUAAGUAGGGGGUGAAAUCCUGCGGCUUAACCGCAGGGCUGCCUUCUAAACUGGCAGGCUGGAGCACAGUAGAGGCAGGUGGAAUUCCCGGUGUAGCGGUGGAAUGCGUAGAGAUCGGGAAGAACAUCAGUGGCGAAGGCGGCCUGCUGGGCUGUUGAUGACGCUGAGGCGCGACAGCGUGGGGAGCAAACAGG
rnacentral:rRNA from 1 species